AGUUGGUGUUCUGUGCUGAAGAACUUCCCUUGCAUUAGAGAUGAAAGUGCUUUAGGAGACUCCAGCUUUACCCACAUGGCCUCUUCUCAAAUUCAUUUUACAAGACUGCAAAAAGAAGCCCAACUUCUUUUUCUUGCUGUUGUGAAGCCAGAACUCCAAGUCUCAGACACUGGGAAGUCCUCACAAGGAUUAGCAGCCAGCAAUUACUUCCAUAAACACUUCAGUUGGGAGGACACUGAAUGGGAAUUGGUGCAGGAAUACAGCAGUGGAUAAAACACUUGACAGCAGGAAUUAAUCAUUUCAAAUAGUGAACAAAUCAGCAAAUAAACAUCUUCAGCAUCUGCCUGCAGAUUGUCCCUUGCAGCAGGCUCUUCAAUUUGGGAUCAUCAAUCUAUUUGAUGAAGGUUGGUCUCUCCUCUAUAUUGAAUCAUCAAAUGUUUACUGUCCCUCAGCUUCCCUCCGUUUUUAGAAUUACUCUCAGGAAUAAAAUGAGAAUUCACUGCCAGCUUUGAUGUUUAAGCGUCUCCUGUUGAGCCUGCUAGGCCUGGCUGGAAGACAGAAAAACAGGGUCUGUUUUGAUCCCUGCU